CAAGCCCUCAGAAACUUUCAGAGAGCUGACCACAGCCCCUUCCCCUGAGAAGGUCUGGUGUGCUCACUGAGGAGGCCUGGCCUUGCUUCCCACGCACUGCCCAUGGGAAGGCCAGCUCAGGGGCAGGUGGUGCCGGGCAGCCUGGAAGGCCCUCCCCCUCCCAGGCUCCUCAAGAUCGGAAUCUGUUCCAGGCCACCAGACAGCGCUCCCUGCCAGCCCGUUCACAAAAACAGUUCCUGGACGUGCUUCGUGAGUUGUGGCCAAGCUCUUGUGACACCACCUCCUAGAAUUACAAAGAGAUCCUUUGUGGGCAGCCGGCUCCAGCUAACAGCUUGUGGAUGGCUGGACUCCCCCUGGCACUUUCUUUACUAGACAGCCCCCUCACUCCUGUCCAUUCACUUCCAGACAAUCUGGGAUCCUAGAUGGAUAAUUGGGCCAUCUGAUCAACCUGAAGAGGCAAGAAAACUGGAGUGGAUUGCUACACCCUCCUCCAGGGGAUCUUCCUGACCCAGGGAUCAAAUCCGUGUCUCUAUGUCUCCUGCAUUGGCAGGGAAGCCAGAACUGAGCUCCUGUCAGAGAAGAUACAGGCCGUAGAACAGCUUCAAGAAAGCGGAGGGGAUGAUCCAGGUUGGAUCGGAAGAAGAUGAAGGCCAGAAGCUGCCAACAGGGCGUUAAUUGGCUUUGGAACAGCUGAGAACUUCACCCUGGUCCAAACACCCCGAGGCAAUUUCCAAUUUCCGAAAGCAACUGUGGAGGAAGAGGCCUGUACCUUUCUUGCCUCCUUGAAUGGGCAGCUCGGAAGUGGGGGAAGGAGCCAGGAAUCCACGGGGCAUCCUUUUCCUCCACCAACUGCCCAGGGCCUGGACGGAAGCCAGGCUGCCCGCCUCCUGGGGCUUGGGAAUGAGCCCAAGAAUAAAGGAAGCUGCGGGCCCGGCUCCCAUCCCGGAGGGGAGGUGCUGACGGCAGCCAGUGCCCGGCCCUGCGGGGAUCAGAGGAGAGGAAUGGCUGUUGCCAGAGCGUUGCGUGCGGACAACUAAGCUUUGUUAGAUUUCUGGCUCCAUUGACUUUUCUUCUCUGAGAUCAGUUUCCUCAUCCGAACAUGAGGGUGUUGUUGGGCCAGGAGUCAAAGGUUAUUUCUAGGCUUGCCUUCUGGGGCUGGUGAGAAAA
ensembl:lncRNA